rnacentral:snoRNA from 1 species
ACGACCUUACUUGAACAAGAUCAUUUCUAUAGAAUCGUACUACUGUGUUCUUGAUUUCUAAGGAGAUAGGAACAUAAAUCUGGACGAUGAAUUAUGACCGUGUAAUCAGAGCGUGAUUAACGGUUCUGUGGUGACAUCCUACGGGAAUCAUCACAAGAUACUGUAGAGGAUCGUUCUCAGCCAGCACAGUCUGGUUGGGUUUGUCACACGAUUGUCUGACAGAUU